rnacentral:sRNA from 1 species
GCUUUUGGUUCUCACAGUAGACGGCGUAGGCCUUAGGUGGGUUCGUGCGCCUUCUACCUCGCUGUUUCGGUUUUCCUGGCUCCUCGGCCCUUUUCUCCCCGUUGCAGCUGGGAGCGGACGAAGCGCGAAGCUGGGAUUUUUUACUGUUUCCUGAAGAAUUUAACACAAACAUGGAUAUCAGACCAAAUCAUACAAUUUAUAUCAACAAUAUGAAUGACAAAAUUAAAAAGGAAGAAUUGAAGAGAUCCCUAUAUGCCCUGUUUUCUCAGUUUGGUCAUGUGGUGGACAUUGUGGCUUUAAAGACCAUGAAGAUGAGGGGGCAGGCCUUUGUCAUAUUUAAGGAACUGGGCUCAUCCACGAAUGCUUUGAGACAGCUGCAAGGAUUUCCAUUUUAUGGUAAACCAAUGGUAAGCCAAUUCCAUUAUUUCACUUUAAUCAAGAAAUUAAUGAUAUUGAUGGGACAGUAGAUUUGUAAAUAUGCUUGAAACUGUGGCUAUUGCUUUCUGCUUUUAAUUAUGUGUGUUUGGGUUUAUGUAUUU